CACAUGCAAGUCGAGCGCCCCGCAAGGGGAGCGGCAGACGGGUGAGUAACGCGUGGGAACGUACCCUUUACUACGGAAUAACGCAGGGAAACUUGUGCUAAUACCGUAUGUGCCCUUCGGGGGAAAGAUUUAUCGGUAAGGGAUCGGCCCGCGUUGGAUUAGCUAGUUGGUGGGGUAAAGGCCUACCAAGGCGACGAUCCAUAGCUGGUCUGAGAGGAUGAUCAGCCACAUUGGGACUGANACACGGCCCAAACUCCUACGG
rnacentral:rRNA from 1 species